AUGCAAGUCGAGGGGAAACGACAUCGAAAGCUUGCUUUUGAUGGGCGUCGACCGGCGCACGGGUGAGUAACGCGUAUCCAACCUUCCCGCAACUGGGGAAUAACCUUGCGAAAGUAAGACUAAUACCCCAUGGUCUCCACGGAUGGCAUCUGAAAUGGAGUAAAGGUUUCGGCCGGUUGCGGAUGGGGAUGCGUCCGAUUAGCUUGACGGCGGGGUAACGGCCCACCGUGGCAUCGAUCGGUAGGGGUUCUGAGAGGAAGGUCCCCACAUUGGAACUGAGACACGGUCCAAACUCC
rnacentral:rRNA from 1 species